AGAGUUUGAUCCUGGCUCAGGACGAACGCUGGCGGCGUGCUUAACACAUGCAAGUCGAGCGAUGAAGCUUCCUUCGGGAAGUGGAUUAGCGGCGGACGGGUGAGUAACACGUGGGUAACCUGCCUCAAAGUGGGGGAUAGCCUUCCGAAAGGAAGAUUAAUACCGCAUAACAUAAGAGAAUCGCAUGAUUUUCUUAUCAAAGAUUUAUUGCUUUGAGAUGGACCCGCGGCGCAUUAGCUAGUUGGUAAGGUAACGGCUUACCAAGGCAACGAUGCGUAGCCGACCUGAGAGGGUGAUCGGCCACAUUGGAACUGAGACACGGUCCAGACUCCUACGGGAGGCAGCAGUGGGGAAUAUUGCGCAAUGGGGGAAACCCUGACGCAGCAACGCCGCGUGGGUGAUGAAGGUCUUCGGAUUGUAAAGCCCUGUUUUCUGGGACGAUAAUGACGGUACCAGAGGAGGAAGCCACGGCUAACUACGUGCCAGCAGCCGCGGUAAUACGUAGGUGGCGAGCGUUGUCCGGAUUUACUGGGCGUAAAGGGUGCGUAGGCGGAUGUUUAAGUGGGAUGUGAAAUCCCCGGGCUUAACCUGGGGGCUGCAUUCCAAACUGGAUAUCUAGAGUGCAGGAGAGGAAAGCGGAAUUCCUAGUGUAGCGGUGAAAUGCGUAGAGAUUAGGAAGAACACCAGUGGCGAAGGCGGCUUUCUGGACUGUAACUGACGCUGAGGCACGAAAGCGUGGGUAGCAAACAGGAUUAGAUACCCUGGUAGUCCACGCCGUAAACGAUGGAUACUAGGUGUAGGGGGUAUCAACUCCCCCUGUGCCGCAGUUAACACAAUAAGUAUCCCGCCUGGGGAGUACGGUCGCAAGAUUAAAACUCAAAGGAAUUGACGGGGGCCCGCACAAGCAGCGGAGCAUGUGGUUUAAUUCGAAGCAACGCGAAGAACCUUACCUGGACUUGACAUCCCUUGCAUAGCCUAGAGAUAGGUGAAGCCCUUCGGGGCAAGGAGACAGGUGGUGCAUGGUUGUCGUCAGCUCGUGUCGUGAGAUGUUAGGUUAAGUCCUGCAACGAGCGCAACCCUUGUUAUUAGUUGCUACCAUUAAGUUGAGCACUCUAAUGAGACUGCCUGGGUAACCAGGAGGAAGGUGGGGAUGACGUCAAAUCAUCAUGCCCCUUAUGUCCAGGGCUA
rnacentral:rRNA from 1 species